rnacentral:lncRNA from 1 species
UGGGCCAAGUUUUAUUGGUUUAGUGAGGAAAUGGAGGGUUAUUUUUCCCAUGUUUAGAAAUCAAUCAUCCCCUGUAAUUAAGGCAUGGGAAAUUGAAGGUGGUUAUGGGUCCAUCCAUCACAUGCAUCUCCUGCCCUUUGCUUUGCAUGAUUGCAGACUACUACAUUGUUUUUUUAUCUUUCUUAUUCACCAUAUAUAUAUAACUACCAAUAAUCAAGUGUCACAUGGUACUUAUGUGAGCUCUCAC